CCGAAAAACAAAUUGAUAAAGAUAGAAGAAAAUUCAUUCUAAUCACCAAUUUUUUUUCUUUCUUUCGUUGUUAUGAUUUAUGUCUCUAGUUCAUUGAUUUAUGAGAAUGAAUAAUUUUUCAAUGAUGAAAUAGUUUAUUCAAGUUUCCGGCAACAAUACCAUGGUGAUAAUAAAACAAAACGACAACGACAACGACAACAACACCCGGUAAGUUCGAAUAAAAUAAAAAAAAACCGUGAUCAGUAAUUUAAUUAUGAAAUUCAUCUAUUUUUAGUGUACACUUUUUGUUUUCAUAUGUGAAAUAGAAAAAUAUAAUUGAUUGAUGAAUUCAUCAAGAUCAGAAAACAAAACAAAACAAAAAAAACGAUUAACGUGUAUGUAUGCAUACUAACAAAACACACCCAUAAAGAAAACAAAACAUUCACAUCAUCAUCAUUUUUGUGGUUGUAUUUAUUUGCGUUCAUUCGAACCAAAACAACACCGUAAACAGUGAGAAAAGUGAUGAUGAUUUUCAAAAGAAAAUUCUGAAUGUUGAACCCUGACCUUGUCUUAUUAUAUUAGAAGACAACAACAGCAAACAACAACAACAACAACAACAACGAAAUAGAAUAAUCGAAAUCAAUAUAUGUGUGCAAUAUGAUCUUUAUGCAAAAUUAUGAUUGAUACAAAAAUUGUCGAUAAAAUACAAUCAUUCAUCAUCAAUCGAUGGAAUUGUAACAAACAUAAGAUCCUGAUGAAUUGUGUCGUUGUUGUUGCUGCUGUUGGUACAUUUUUUUCAUCUGUAUGUGUAAUUUAUCAUACCAAAUCAUCAACAAAUAGCACGUCAUACGAAUUAAUUACAUCUAUAUAUUUGUGUGUGUGUGUGUGUGAAGAAUGAUAAAAAAUUAGAAAAAAAAUCAUCAUAGCAUCCAUCAAUCUAUCCAUAAACUUUUAAUGAUAACAACAACAACAACAACAAAAACAAAACAUACUCAUCAUCACAUUUGCCAUUGAAAGUUUUAACUUGAUUUGAAACUCGUUCAACAUUACCAUCGUUCCUUAUAAUCAGCAGUUGAUUUGAAUUUAAAUGUGAUGUGUGUGAUCAGUGUGAUCAGUGUGAUGAUUACGAAAUUGAAUUAAAGAAUUGAUAACAAUAAUUGAUUGAUUGAUAAUGUGAUUGAUGAUUUAAACGAAAAAUCAUUGUCCCUUUUUUUGUGUGUGUAUGUGUAAUACUUGAAAAUUAUCAUCAUCAAUAGUAAUUUGUCCUUUUUGGUCUCUUUUGAUCGAUUCACGUGUGUGUGUCCGUUUGUGUUUGUGUAAAAUCCAAAAACUUUGGAAUUUUGAAAUUUGG